CAGCCUUGGCGAAACUGCUCAACUUGCUGGACUCAAACUUGGGGGCACUUUCUGUUCUCUAGGCUCGAAAGUGCUGCCAUCUUUGAGUGCUGCCGCUUGAGGACCGCGCCUGGCCGGAAG
rnacentral:pre_miRNA from 15 species